rnacentral:rRNA from 1 species
GACGAACGCUGGCGGCGUGCUUAAUACAUGCAAGUCGAACGCUGAAGGAGGAGCUUGCUCUUCUGGAUGAGUUGCGAACGGGUGAGUAACGCGUAGGUAACCUGCCUGGUAGCGGGGGAUAACUUCUGGAAACGAUAGCUAAUACCGCAUAAGAGUAGCUGUUGCAUGACAUUUGCUUAAAAGGUGCAAUUGCUUCACUACCAGAUGCACCUGCGUUGUAUUAGCUAGUUGGUGGGGUAACGGCGCACCUAGGCGGCGAUACAUAGCCGACCUGAGAGGGUGAUCAGCCACACUGGGAGUGUGACACGGCCCAGACGCCUACAGGAGGCAGCAGUAGUGAAACGGCGGCAAUGGGCGGAAGUCUGACCGAGCAACGCCGAGGGAGUGAGGAAGAAUUUCGGACCGGAGAGGUCGGUUGUAAGGGAAGAACGAGUGUGAGAGUGGAAAGUUCACACAGUGACGGUAACUGACCAGAAAGGAACGGCUAACUACGUG